rnacentral:rRNA from 1 species
UUAAGUUAUUAAGGGCGCACGGUGGAUGCCUUGGCACUAGAAGCCGAUGAAGGACGUUACUAACGACGAUAUGCUUUGGGGAGCUGUAAGUAAGCUUUGAUCCAGAGAUUUCCGAAUGGGGAAACCCAACAUGAGUUAUGUCAUGUUAUCGAUAUGUGAAUACAUAGCAUAUCAGAAGGCACACCCGGAGAACUGAAACAUCUUAGUACCCGGAGGAAGAGAAAGAAAAUUCGAUUCCCUUAGUAGCGGCGAGCGAAACGGGAAGAGCCCAAACCAACAAGCUUGCUUGUUGGGGUUGUAGGACACUCUAUACGGAGUUACAAAGGACGACAUUAGACGAAUCAUCUGGAAAGAUGAAUCAAAGAAGGUAAUAAUCCUGUAGUCGAAAAUGUUGUCUCUCUUGAGUGGAUCCUGAGUACGACGGAGCACGUGAAAUUCCGUCGGAAUCUGGGAGGACCAUCUCCUAAGGCUAAAUACUCUCUAGUGACCGAUAGUGAACCAGUACCGUGAGGGAAAGGUGAAAAGCACCCCGGAAGGGGAGUGAAAUAGAACCUGAAACCGUGUGCUUACAAGUAGUCAGAGCCCGUUAAUGGGUGAUGGCGUGCCUUUUGUAGAAUGAACCGGCGAGUUACGAUUUGAUGCAAGGUUAAGCAGUAAAUGUGGAGCCGUAGCGAAAGCGAGUCUGAAUAGGGCGUUUAGUAUUUGGUCGUAGACCCGAAACCAGGUGAUCUACCCUUGGUCAGGUUGAAGUUCAGGUAACACUGAAUGGAGGACCGAACCGACUUACGUUGAAAAGUGAGCGGAUGAACUGAGGGUAGCGGAGAAAUUCCAAUCGAACCUGGAGAUAGCUGGUUCUCUCCGAAAUAGCUUUAGGGCUAGCCUCAAGUGAUGAUUAUUGGAGGUAGAGCACUGUUUGGACGAGGGGCCCCUCUCGGGUUACCGAAUUCAGACAAACUCCGAAUGCCAAUUAAUUUAACUUGGGAGUCAGAACAUGGGUGAUAAGGUCCGUGUUCGAAAGGGAAACAGCCCAGACCACCAGCUAAGGUCCCAAAAUAUAUGUUAAGUGGAAAAGGAUGUGGCGUUGCCCAGACAACUAGGAUGUUGGCUUAGAAGCAGCCAUCAUUUAAAGAGUGCGUAAUAGCUCACUAGUCGAGUGACACUGCGCCGAAAAUGUACCGGGGCUAAACAUAUUACCGAAGCUGUGGAUUGUCCUUUGGACAAUGGUAGGAGAGCGUUCUAAGGGCGUUGAAGCAUGAUCGUAAGGACAUGUGGAGCGCUUAGAAGUGAGAAUGCCGGUGUGAGUAGCGAAAGACGGGUGAGAAUCCCGUCCACCGAUUGACUAAGGUUUCCAGAGGAAGGCUCGUCCGCUCUGGGUUAGUCGGGUCCUAAGCUGAGGCCGACAGGCGUAGGCGAUGGAUAACAGGUUGAUAUUCCUGUACCACCUAUAAUCGUUUUAAUCGAUGGGGGACGCAGUAGGAUAGGCGAAGCGUGCGAUUGGAUUGCACGUCUAAGCAGUAAGGCUGAGUAUUAGGCAAAUCCGGUACUCGUUAAGGCUGAGCUGUGAUGGGGAGAAGACGUUGUGUCUUCGAGUCGUUGAUUUCACACUGCCGAGAAAAGCCUCUAGAUAGAAAAUAGGUGCCCGUACCGCAAACCGACACAGGUAGUCAAGAUGAGAAUUCUAAGGUGAGCGAGCGAACUCUCGUUAAGGAACUCGGCAAAAUGACCCCGUAACUUCGGGAGAAGGGGUGCUCUUUAGGGUUAACGCCCAGAAGAGCCGCAGUGAAUAGGCCCAAGCGACUGUUUAUCAAAAACACAGGUCUCUGCUAAACCGUAAGGUGAUGUAUAGGGGCUGACGCCUGCCCGGUGCUGGAAGGUUAAGAGGAGUGGUUAGCUUCUGCGAAGCUACGAAUCGAAGCCCCAGUAAACGGCGGCCGUAACUAUAACGGUCCUAAGGUAGCGAAAUUCCUUGUCGGGUAAGUUCCGACCCGCACGAAAGGCGUAACGAUUUGGGCACUGUCUCAACGAGAGACUCGGUGAAAUCAUAGUACCUGUGAAGAUGCAGGUUACCCGCGACAGGACGGAAAGACCCCGUGGAGCUUUACUGUAGCCUGAUAUUGAAAUUCGGCACAGCUUGUACAGGAUAGGUAGGAGCCUUUGAAACGUGAGCGCUAGCUUACGUGGAGGCGCUGGUGGGAUACUACCCUAGCUGUGUUGGCUUUCUAACCCGCACCACUUAUCGUGGUGGGAGACAGUGUCAGGCGGGCAGUUUGACUGGGGCGGUCGCCUCCUAAAAGGUAACGGAGGCGCUCAAAGGUUCCCUCAGAAUGGUUGGAAAUCAUUCAUAGAGUGUAAAGGCAUAAGGGAGCUUGACUGCGAGACCUACAAGUCGAGCAGGGUCGAAAGACGGACUUAGUGAUCCGGUGGUUCCGCAUGGAAGGGCCAUCGCUCAACGGAUAAAAGCUACCCCGGGGAUAACAGGCUUAUCUCCCCCAAGAGUUCACAUCGACGGGGAGGUUUGGCACCUCGAUGUCGGCUCAUCGCAUCCUGGGGCUGUAGUCGGUCCCAAGGGUUGGGCUGUUCGCCCAUUAAAGCGGUACGCGAGCUGGGUUCAGAACGUCGUGAGACAGUUCGGUCCCUAUCCGUCGUGGGCGUAGGAAAUUUGAGAGGAGCUGUCCUUAGUACGAGAGGACCGGGAUGGACAUACCUCUGGUGUACCAGUUGUCGUGCCAACGGCAUAGCUGGGUAGCUAUGUGUGGACGGGAUAAGUGCUGAAAGCAUCUAAGCAUGAAGCCCCCCUCAAGAUGAGAUUUCCUAACUUCGGUUAUAAGAUCCCUCAAAGAUGAUGAGGUUAAUAGGUUCGAGGUGGAAGCAUGGUGACAUGUGGAGCUGACGAAUACUAAUCGAUCGAAGACUUAAUCAA